UUCGGGUGGCCGGCGAGUGGCGAACGGGUGCGUAACGCGUGGAUACCUGCCCAGAGGUGGGGGACAACAGCUGGAAACAACUGCUAAUACCGCAUGAUUCCUAUGGGACAAAGACUUCGGUCGCCUUUGGAUGGGUCCGCGUCGGAUUAGCUUGUUGGUGGGGUAACGGCCUACCAAGGCAAUGAUCCGUAGCUGGUCUGAGAGGAUGAUCAGCCACACUGGGACUGAGACACGGCCCAGACUCCUACGGGAGGCAGCAGUGGGGAAUAUUGCGCAAUGGGGGCAACCCUGACGCAGCGAUACCGCGUGGGUGAAGAAGGUCUUCGGAUUGUAAAGCCCUUUCAGUGGGGAAGAUAGUGACGGUACCCACAGAAGAAGCUCCGGCUAACUCCGUGCCAGCAGCCGCGGUAAUACGGAGGGGGCGAGCGUUGUUCGGAAUUACUGGGCGUAAAGGGCGCGUAGGCGGCCUGUCAAG
rnacentral:rRNA from 1 species